AUUGAACGCUAGCGGGAUGCUUUACACAUGCAAGUCGAGCGAGCGGCGGACGGGUGAGUAAUGUAUGGGAACUUGCCCGGUAGCGGGGGAUAACUACUGGAAACGGUGGCUAAUACCGCAUACUAUUGGAUCAGCCCAUAUGGGAUUAGCUCGUAGGGGGGGUAAAGGCUAACCAAGGCAACGAUCCCUCGCUGGUUUGAGAGGAUGACCAGCCACACUGGGACUGAGAAACGGACAAGAGUCCUACGGGAGGCAGCAGUGGGGAAUAGUGCACAAGGGGGGCAACCCGGGUGCAGCCAUCCCGCGUGUAUGAAGAAGGCCUGAGGGUUGUAAAGUACUUUCAGCGGGGAAGCGGUAACUGCAGAAGAAGCACCGGCGAACUCCGUGCCAGCAGCCGCGGUAAUAG
rnacentral:rRNA from 1 species